GUGCAGCAUGGGAUUAAGCCCUAUGGUAUCUUCAGAUUACAGCCUAUUAAUUAAGCUGGAAUGCCCCACACAUUAUGGAUGAUAAUUUUGUAAAUUAGAGCAGUACUUUCUCGAGAGGGGCCCUUUGUUUUUCUGGACAUCAGAAUUUUAUAUCAAUGGAUUGUCCUGGAAUUGCCAUACAGGAAACUGUCCUUUAACAUGUGCAUGAAGCAGCUCCCUGGAUGGUGUGUAGUCUGUUUGUCAACAUGUGGAG